UGUGUGGAAAGAAAUGGCUAUGGAAAGAUCGGGUUUCACUUGCCGCGAAACCAGAAGGUAUUGCGAGGUAGAUGUAUUCAAUAGCAAUUUGUGUGGAAGAAUUAUUGGCCAGCCAGUCAGCAGGUUAUGAGUACCGAACGGCCGCUCCGUAUGUGUACUUUUACUAUUUAGACGGAAAGCUCCUCCUCUGGCAUGUUUGGCUUAUAGACAACAAAGGGCUAUACGCAUAUGUAGUGCGGCAUCCUUUUAUAACACUUCUGGAUCCUUCUAUAAUUCUACUAAGCAAAGGCAUGCGACCCUUUGAUAUCCGACGCGGCUGCAAUGCCGAACCCUGAACGAUAAGCUCGCUUAUUCAAAAUAACAUUUGUUUCCUUUCUUGAUAACUUUUACUUCAGCAUUUUAUGAUGCCUACAAAAUAAAAAGUCUGAAGUGAAAUUACCUUUCUGGAACUUAUUAAUUUAAAAUCUGAUUCUUGUUCUAACUCUAAUUGUUUGUAUGUAUUUUUGAAUAAAAUUUUGUUUGUUGUU